UACGUAGGGGGCAAGCGUUGUCCGGAUUUAUUGGGCGUAAAGAGCGUGUAGGCGGUCUGUCGCGUCGGCUGUGAAAACUCGGGGCUCAACCCCGAGCUUGCAGUCGAUACGGGCAGGCUAGAGUUCGGCAGGGGAGACUGGAAUUCCUGGUGUAGCGGUGAAAUGCGCAGAUAUCAGGAGGAACACCGGUGGCGAAGGCGGGUCUCUGGGCCGAUACUGACGCUGAGGAGCGAAAGCGUGGGGAGCGAACAGG
rnacentral:rRNA from 1 species